rnacentral:miRNA from 1 species
CUGGGUCUCCUUUCUGCUGAGAGCCAAACAGAUGAUGGGACGACCUGUCUGUGGAGAGGAGCUACCCAC